UUUGGUGGUUUGGCCCUCUCUUCUAAGGAAGUUGUGUGUAAAACAAAGAAAUCUGUGGCUAUAUCAUGAAAUUUGGAAGAUUGGGGAUUCUGCUGGGAGUUUAAUGCAGUGCUGGCGUGAAGUUGUGAUUCCAUGAGAUAGAAGGGAAAGGAUGUGGAGUCAGUAACAAGAAAAUAACAUGUGUCCUUGCAUUAACGCUGCCCUUUUCUGCUUUCAGGAGGAUGAUUCUGUACCAUCAAGCCAUAGAGAGUAGGGUGAAGCUUGAGGACUCUAUGGAUACAUUAUGUAUACCUGAGGUAUACACAGCACAGAGAGGGUUGCAUCUGAGACCCACUGUACCUCCUGAGAAUUUAAGACCCUCAAGCAUGGAGGAGACUUCAGCCAAGAAAGCACCAACAGUUUGCGUGGGCAAAGGAACCACCGGCUUACUUUUAAACGCACUUUUGUCCAGUGUUUUCUCCACUGGAGUAAAAGAAAACAUUGAAAAUGAAAAACAAUAUCCCCAGGAAGGGGAAGAAAUUGCUGUUAUUGGAAUCAGAGCAAGGAACACAACAGACUGCCUUUCCCCAAGGGCCGGCCGUCUCAUGUCAAUCACAGCUCAUUCUUGAAAACAGAACUGUGGAGGACAUAUGUCUUGUGUCUAGAGUGAGAGAACAGUACAUAGAGAACAAGGAACCUCUCUGCACGAUAAAAUCGAGAGGUAAAAAAUAUUGAGAGUAUGUUUUCCUAGUCUCUCGCUUCUAUGUUUUGCUGAAACAAACUCAAAGUCUGUAGCAUGAAAUGAGAAUUUGGGGAAAGCUGAAAGAAAUAUCGAAAAACGCACAACGGAACAAAUGUCCUAUUUCAAAAGGCAGGAUGUGUGUGACACUAUUAACUCAGAACCUACUGGCUGGAGUUUCGGACCAUGCUUAGUCAGUUUCUCUUUGAUGUUGCCAAUGUGUAAGGAAACAUUCCUCUCUUAAUUGGUUGAUAACACAGCCCCACCGCCCCGGGUGGUUACAUUCUAACCAUGUCUUAGGUGGUCAGUGGGAGAUGUGAUCUGGAUGGAACUCAUGCUUUCUUUUUCCUCUUGGAUUUUGUUGUUGUUGUUCACAUGCAAAAAUAAAUGACCAUUAUAUGCGAUUUACAAAA